GUCCGUCUUUCUUAAGCCUGUCCGCCUCUCUCGUCUUCUACUACCUCCUCCCAUACACUCUCGCCAAAAGCGACGCCCUCUUACAAGAUGUAGGAAGCCGCGGAAUUUCGUUGCCAUUGUCUCGCAACAUGCCUGAUCGCGUCCUAUGCACCUUUCGUUUGGCAGCACUUGCCAAGAGCUGACUAACAGAACCGUGCCGCGAAUUUUAUUCGCACCUGACCCAUUACCAAGCGCAUAACACCAUUACCAAACCAAGGGGAAAAGGACUACGUCGCGGGAAUAACGAGUCGAAUUUCUCGUCGUUAGUUAAUUCGUUGUCGCGGUUCCUCGGUUUCAAACGAAUGAAUAGGACCAUCUAAUUUGUCCCUGUUGGAGAGGCAGAAUUGCCUGUUACUAUGCCGUGAUUGCGAGGAUACUAGUAACGUGUUACGGACGAUUGAGACAGCGAGUACCGCCUAUAACGAUUACAAACAAGCGAAAAACGGAAGAGAACGCGAACGGGACGUUCCGAUAGGUACACGUAGACGCGUGGUAGACGUUCGAACGAAAGCAUCCGAAAGAGAGAAGCGCGAUGUCGUCUGGAAGACGUCGACGAAGAUAUUGGGUCGAGCUUAGCUUCAACAUAGUUGGAGAGUGCUGCAUAAGCUUAUUAAGGUUGGGUGCUUUGCCACGGUUCCACGUCACCGAGCACGCUGCUAGUGCCGCUCUUUCUACCCCCCUCCCCAUAUUUCUCGUCGGAGAAGAACCUGGAAAGCGGUGUAGCCAGUGGGAGGAGAGUUAGAUUGUUGGGUAGCAAGACAAGAAAAGAAGAAGCACAGCGAGAGAGGAAGGCUAGUGGAAAAAGGAGAAGAGUGUUGCAGGGGGACAAGUGAGAGGGACGGCAGGAACCUGCUGUACCGACCAACGUGUCGCCGAUGCAACUUCAACGGUGGCAGUGGGGUAAGCUGGCGGAUUGUUAGAUCGAGGGGGCGAUGUCACCAAAGGGGGUACCGGGAAUAGAGGUGCCGAGGCAAGGGAACGCCGAUGCAGACACGACCGAAAGGGGACGUAAGGGAGGGGAAAAUCGGAGCGAAGGGGGUGUUAGCUGGGUUUGAAGGGGAAAGGGCGAAGCUGGAGAAGCGAGGAGCCUCUUGAGAGACAAUGAGGCCGCUCACGAGUGUCGCAACGAGUGGAUGCUCUCCACUAUUGCCAACUCAGGCCCUUCAAGCCUUCCAGGCUUGCACCACCACUACCCUCGGCCUCGUCGUUCCCGCUAUCCUGCUGCCGGCUGUUACACCACUGUCACGUUGCACUAUAACCACGCGGGUCGACGAGCAUGACGACGACGACGACGACGACGACAACGAUGUCGCUGGCAACAGCGUUAGUGCGGUCGACGGGGGUGCAAGUAAACCCCAAGUGCCGCCUCCAGGCCCGUCAACUAGACAACGACACGCCCAUGGUGUAUCGUAGUUUUUAAUUUACUUCCCUUGAACGAUCUGUCCUCCGUUCGGCCAGUUUUCAAUCGCUCCGCCAGGAUGUAGGGAAACUUUUAUCGCAAGUCAAAUAAUUUCUAGUUGUAGGUAGGUCGUUGGUUACGACAUAAUUUAUUCCUUCAUUUUGAAAUAUUAUGUUUGUCAGAUAGUUUAUGUGAUUCGUAAUUAAGUCCGAUUCGUUCGUAUGUAACGAAGCGUAGCUGAUAAUUAUAAAAUGUACUUAAAUUUAAGGAACUGCUUUAUAAUAUUUGAAUAAUUUUUAUUAGUUUUAAGGUUGAAACACAUUCGCAAUCGAGAAAAUAUCAUAUAUCAGGGAUGUUUUGUCUAAUGUGGACAAAAUACUCUGUGAAAUUUCCGCUAUUCGUAGGUUUAUAGAAAGUUGAAAACGAUGUAGGUUGAAAUUUCCUGCACCGAUAUAAGAAAAUACUUCGACGAUCCUCGCUACAUGGAACACUAUUAUGCUUGCGUCUACAAAAUGCUAGAUCUACUCAUAAUGUAAAAUACGAUGUGUAUGUUCCUUAAAGAAAAUAAACAAGAACAAAAUUGC